UACGAAGGUCCCAAGCGUUGCUCGGAAUCAUUGGGCGUAAAGCGGGUGCAGGUGGCUUUGUAAGUCAGGAGUGAAAGCCCAGGGCUCAACCCUGGAAGUGCUUUUGAUACUGCAAAGCUUGAGUGUGGGAGAGGAUGCUGGAAUUCCUGGUGUAGUGGUGAAAUACGUAGAGAUCAGGAGGAACCCCGGUGGCGAAGGCGGGUAUCUGGCCCAACACUGACACUUAGACCCGAAAGCGUGGGGAUCAAACAGG
rnacentral:rRNA from 1 species